rnacentral:rRNA from 1 species
GUAACCCUACGGGGCGCAGCAGUGGGGAAUAUUGCACAAUGGGGGAAACCCUGAUGCAGCAACGCCGCGUGGGUGAAGAAGUAGUUCGGUAUGUAAAGCCCUAUCAGCAGGGAAGAGAAUGACGGUACCUGACUAAGAAGCCCCGGCUAACUACGUGCCAGCAGCCGCGGUAAUACGUAGGGGGCAAGCGUUAUCCGGAUUUACUGGGUGUAAAGGGAGCGUAGACGGUUGGGCAAGUCUGAAGUGAAAGCCCGCGGCGCAACUGCGGAACGG